AUACGGAGGGUGCGAGCGUUAAUCGGAAUUACUGGGCGUAAAGCGUACGUAGGCGGUUGGUUAAGUUAGAUGUGAAAGCCCCGGGCUUAACCUGGGAACUGCAUUUAAAACUGGCGAACUAGAGUUGAGUUGAGGGGAGUGGAAUUUCAGGUGUAGCGGUGAAAUGCGUAGAGAUCUGAAGGAACACCAGUGGCGAAGGCGACUCCCUGGACUCGAACUGACGCUGAGGUACGAAAGCGUGGGUAGCAAACGGGAUUAGAAACACUAGUAGUCC
rnacentral:rRNA from 1 species